CCUACGGGAGGCAGCAGUGAGGAAUAUUGGUCAAUGGUCGGGAGACUGAACCAGCCAAGCCGCGUGAGGGAGGAAGGUACAGAGUAUCGUAAACCUCUUUUGUCAGGGAACAAAGACUGGGACGCGUCCCCGGAUGAGUGUACCUGAAGAAAAAGCAUCGGCUAACUCCGUGCCAGCAGCCGCGGUAAUACGGAGGAUGCGAGCGUUAUACGGAUUUAUUGGGUUUAAAGGGUGCGCAGGCGGUCUGUUAAGUCAGCGGGCAAAGCCCGGGGCUCAACCCCGGCCCGCCGUUGAAACUGGCAGUCUCGAGUUGGAGAGAAGUAUGCGGAAUGCGCGGUGUAGCGGUGAAAUGCAUAGAUAUCGCGCAGAACUCCGAUUGCGAAGGCAGCAUGCCGGCUCCACACUGACGCUGAGGCACGAAAGCGUGGGUAUCGAACAGGAUUAGAUACCCUUGUAGUC
rnacentral:rRNA from 1 species